CUGCAAAGAUCCUAUUUCCAAAUAAGGUCACUUUGCAGUAAGUAAAGCAACAGUGAGCCUGCCGGGCAGACGGGGUCCUUGAGGAGACUGAGGAGCUGCAGAGAUAGAUCAAGGCAUAGGCACAUGGGGAGAGAAAACAGGCUGGGAUAACUCGUAAUUUCCCACCCAUAAUCCUAUUUGCCAGGCCCAGCUGGAAGCCCACAUCACCUGGAAAAAGCAGCCUACAGGUGUUGAUCCCUACUGCCAAGGUUUUGCAUCGGUCUAAGGGAUUGAGUAUAUUCCCAUGGACAUCCCACACAACAGUAGCAGAGAAGUCUGGAGGCAGAAAUAUUAGAUCAGGUCAUACCCAAGAUGAACUAUGUCCAGUCUUCUACAGGAAAAUAUCAGAUCACAGAACUGGCAAACUAUGGCCCAAAUUCCACCUGCCUCCUGUUUUUAUGAAUAAAGAUUUAUUGGAAAACAGCCAUGUUCAUU
rnacentral:lncRNA from 1 species